UACAGAGGUGGCAAGCGUCGUUCGGAAUUACUGGGCGUAAAGGGCGCGUAGGCGGCCCGUCAAGUCCCGUGUGAAAGCCCCCGGCUCAACCGGGGAACGGCGCGGGAAACUAGCAGGCUUGAGUUCGGGAGAGGGAAGCGGAAUUCCGGGUGUAGCGGUGAAAUGCGCAGAUAUCCGGAGGAACACCGGUGGCGAAGGCGGCUUCCUGGACCGACACUGACGCUGAGGCGCGAAAGCUAGGGGAGCAAACGGG
rnacentral:rRNA from 1 species